GUGUUCUGGGACUCAAUCUAGUUCACUUACGUGUGUCUGGGGAACCAGCUAUGACAAAGUUAAAGCGGGUUGACCGUGUUUUAAUCAUGCUUCAGUGAGGUCCUAGACGUUUCAGGCCAAGCUCACCCUCUGAUAGGAGAAGGGAAGGGUCCACAGAGUCUCACCAUUUCUUCUUCCAGCAAUCUUUAUGCGGACACAAGAACUUAUUUUUCUAUUUUGAAAGGAAAUCAUAUGGGAAGGCAGGAAGAGCUAGAAUACUGAGGAAACCAAAUUUCCCCAGCCCUCACCAAGUACUUCAGGCUAAAUGCUCCCACCUGAAAUAGACUAUGAUGUCACCAUUUUAAAGCAACUUCCGGGAGGAUAAACCCCCAUCUCAUUAUCCCAGCCUAUUCCAAGAACAGGGACCAAGAGGGAAACAGGUAAAGACAUUGCUAAGAAAUAGGAACUCCAAGUGGGCUAAUCAGGAACUCUGAAAGCAGGUUGGAUUCAAGGAUCAGGCUGUGGUAUGACUGUGUCUUAGUUGCUAGCCUAUUGGAUUUCCAGACAUUGAAUAGGCUGACCUCCCUCUGAGAUUUUAAGGAAGUGUUAUUUCCAGAGACUCUGCAAGCCCUGCAAACAGGCUUGUGAUUGAUUGCUCAACCCCUGAGGCUGUCCCCAGGCCCCACCAAAACCUCUACCAGAAGUUCUCCAGCAGGUCUUCCUGAACUUUAUGGUUAAGUUCAAGGAAAAGAUUCCAGGAAGUCAUAUUUUAGCCCGCCUCUGGCCCAAGCCCCAGUGCAGCAUGAUCAGUAGUGAACCGGACACUGCACUUUCAUCUCCAUCUGGCUUGUGUGUCGAACACACAACUGAUUCUGAAUCUGGAAAGGAAGAACGCAUCAGGGUCUUUUCCAAUGAGUCAGCUCUUCGCAUCAAGUGGCCAUAGUUCCCAAUUGCAGCAAAACUGUUCGGGAAGAACAAGUUUCUAUUACCCAGGAAAUAAAGAUUGAGGAGGAGGGCAGAAUGAGAGAAACAAAACUCUUUAACUCACAGUGGGAAUUUUUGAUGGUGAGUUUCUGACAUGAGGACAUUUGUGACUUUUCCUCCAUUCGGAAAUAUUACUCCACACCUGAGCAGUUCAGGAGAGGCUGAGUUGCAGGAAUGGGAUAAGCUCAUGACUGGAAAGGAUCCAGGAUAAGUCAUGUUGGGAGUUGAAGCUUCAACAUAUGAAUUGGUAGAAGGAGAAGACACAAUUCAGUACAUUAAGACAUCCUGAGAUGGGACUUUCCAGGAGGGAGACAUCAAUUCCAAGAUGCUUCCGCAGGGACUCUCCAUCACAAGCGUGAGAGCUGCUUAACCUGAGUCAAGAGAAGGAUGGUAAACUAAAUACAGGACCUGAAAUAGUGCUUCUUCACAACCAAAGUAUGACCUCUUCCCUGAAGAAACCACGUGUUAGCAGCACAUGUUCCUCCUACCACCUGCCCACCCUACUGCCAGCCUGGUGAUAGUUGGGGGUAGAGGGAAUAACAGCAUGAGUGCCUUAGGACUGGGUUUGAAUUUUCUGGUUUGGGGUUUUGGUGGGACUUGUUUGUUAGUAUUUUAUAUACAGAUAACAUUUUAUUAAUUACUUAAGUUCAAUUCCCCUGGAAAUGGAAAUGAUAUCAGAAACCCAUACCUGGAGAGAAAGAAUAAUUAUUUUGUUUGGCUUCGGUAACAUCCAUGAAAGAAUCUCCUUCUUUCUCAAAGCAAUAUAUCUCAGAGGAGGCAGCCUAUGUUUCUGUGUUCAAUUAAUAUCCAGUAGAUUACUGUGAAACUCUUGGUUCUGCUGUUUAAUUUUAAAAUUCCCCUUCACUUCUCCCCCUUCAAUUGAACUGAUGUUCAGGUAAAGCUAUGAAACAAUCCAAAGACAAAUAAAAGGAAAGACAAACAACAGUAAGUACCAUUUGGUGGUAUCUUUCCCAUGUCAGAUCUCUGCCAAGUGCUUUACCUGCAUUAUCUUAUAUAAUCCUUCCCACCAUCCUAUGAGAUUAGCAUUAUAAUCCCCAUUCUAUAAACAGGGAA